rnacentral:rRNA from 1 species
UAAGUCUCAGUUCGGAUUGAAGGCUGAAAAUUCGCCUUCAUGAAGCCGGAAUUGCUAGUAAUGGCAGGUCAGCAUACUGCCGUGAAUACGUUCCCGGGCCUUGUACACACCGCCCGUCACACCAUGAGAGUUGGGGAUACCCGAAGCCUGUGAGCUAACUUAACGGAGGCAGCAGUCGAAGGUAGAAUCAAUGAUUGGGGUGAAGUCGUAACAAGGUAGC